rnacentral:rRNA from 1 species
AACGCGAAGAACCUUACCAAGGUUUGACAUGCAGGGAAAAGCCGUAGAGAUAUGGUGUCCGUAAGGGUCCUGCACAGGUGGUGCAUGGCUGUCGUCAGCUCGUGUCGUGAGAUGUUGGGUUAAGUCCCGCAACGAGCGCAACCCUCGUCCUAUGUUGCCAGCGGGUAAUGCCGGGGACUCAUAGGAGACUGCCGGGGUCAACUCGGAGGAAGGUGGGGAUGACGUCAAGUCCUCAUGCCCCUUAUGUCUUGGGCUGCAAACAUGCUACAAUGGCCGGUACAAAGGGUUGCGAGACCGCAAGGUGGAGCGAAUCCCAAAAAGCCGGUCUCAGUUCGGAUUGGGGUCUGCAACUCGACCCCAUGAAGUCGGAGUCGCUAGUAAUCGCGAAUCAGCAACGUCGCGGUGAAUACGUUCCCGGGCCUUGUA